rnacentral:rRNA from 1 species
GACGAACGCUGGCGGCGUGCCUAAUACAUGCAAGUAGAACGCUGAAGGAGGAGCUUGCUUCUCCGGAUGAGUUGCGAACGGGUGAGUAACGCGUAGGUAACCUGCCUGGUAGCGGGGGAUAACUAUUGGAAACGAUAGCUAAUACCGCAUAAGAGUAGAUGUUGCAUGACAUUUGCUUAAAAGGUGCAAUUGCAUCACUACCAGAUGGACCUGCGUUGUAUUAGCUAGUUGGUGAGGUAACGGCCCACCAAGGCGACGAUACAUAGCCGUACUGAGAGGGGGAUAGGCCACACUGGGACUGAGACACGGCCCAGACUCCUACGGGAGGCAGCAGUAGGGAAUCUUCGGCAAUGGACGGAAGUCUGAACGAGCAACGCCGCGUGAGUGAAGAAGGUUUUCGGAUCGUAAAGCUCGGUUGUAAGAGAAGAACGAGUGUGAGAGUGGAAAGUUCACACUGUGACGGUAUCUUACCAGAAAGGGACGGCUAACUACGUG